UCUUAAUUGAAAAAUCUCGAAAUUUCCAAAUGUCUGAAUAUCCAAAUUUCUAAAUAUCUAAGUUUCAACCAAACCGCAACGAGUUAUGUGAUUUCGUCCCCCCUACAUCGCUAUUGAUUAGACGGAAGUCGACCAUGCUCCUAACUGUACAUUAUUUUUCAUUGCAGUUUCGUAACACUUUAGUCAGCUCAUGGAUUCAGUUUUUGUUCCAGUAUCAAGUUGUGUACGCAGUUGUACGUUUGAAAUCUGAGCUCCGUCCUCAAGGACGAUAGUAGGGAUGCCCAAUUUUGGAACUGAACCAAAAAAGGAAAAUUCCUUUCAGGGAAUCAGAAAUUAUUAAUUAUAUGUUCGAAACGUAAAAUUACCAGUAAAAUUACUGUUUACUUCGUUUUUACGUAACUUUCUCAUUAUAUAGAGCAUGUAAUGAUUAGCUCAUAAUUCCUUGAACAAUUUUGAAGAAGAAUUUUACUACCUGAUUGCAUAAAUCUUGCAAAUUAAUAUUUUGAUUGUAUUUUAAUAUUUUUGUAAGGUUUUUGUAACAAUUUUUCUAAUUUUCGAGCUGGUAUUGUUAAAUGAAAAUACUGUCUGAGAUUUCUUUUGUGCUGUUCAAAUUUAAGCGGGAAAAUAAGUGAGAAUACGAGAAGGGAACAGAUAUCGAGCCAUUAAAGGUGUUCAACGAAAGAAAGCCUCGAUUAUGUGUCAUACUGUUUUCGAGCGUCGACCCUCAAAACAUGUACAUGUGUAAUUACAUACACACGCGGAAACUUGGCCCGCCAUAUCACCUUGACGUUGACCUACAUGUGUACCAAUUACAGACUCAGAUACGAGAAAUUUUGACAGAUUUAUAGGCACUCGAGUGGCUUUAAUGGAAUCGUUGGAAGAAAUUAAAAAAUUGAUUACAUUAUUUGCUAACGAUGUUUCGUUACUAAAAUUUCAAUCAUCCGUGUAAAUUACUCAUUGAAACGAGGUUUAAUCUUGAACAAUUAAGCGGAUUCUAAGAACUAGUCUAUUGUUUCUGCGGCUAUAAAAGAGACGGUGAGACAUAAGGAUGUGAAAAAUUCUGUCUGCAGUUAUUUUUGCUACAUUUUUUUGAGGUUAUUGCACAACAAAUUUUCCAUUUAAAAAUGGUGACAAAAGUUUGUUAAAGACUAAUAGAUUCAUGUUACUACCCCGUAAAAUUUUCUUUUGUAUUUUUCGCUAUGUAAUUUUACACAGAAAAGCACUUGAUUAAUGGACCAUGUCCACAAAAUUUUGUAAUUAAGAAAACAGAUAAUAUAAUACAAUUUUGAUGAACUACAAUUCUUUUAAAACUAUAUGGCAAUGAAAGAAUCACCACAGACCAGAUUGUCCAAUUCGGUUAAAGACUUCAUUGAAUAUUUUGUAACAAGUUAACAUUAUCUUUGAUCUGCAAUAACCUACAAAUGAAGCAUAGCGUAUCGAUUAAAAGUCACACCCCUUCAGGGUGCGCCAAGGUCACUAUGACACGAAGA